rnacentral:rRNA from 1 species
AGUCGAGCGAAGCAGUUAAGUUGAUUUCUUCGGAUUGAUUCUUAACUGACUGAGCGGCGGACGGGUGAGUAACGCGUGGGUGACCUGUCCCAUACCGGGGGAUAACAGCUGGAAAUGGCUGCUAAUACCGCAUAAGCGCACAGAGCUGCAUGGCUCGGUGUGAAAAACUCCGGUGGUAUGGGAUGGGCCCGCGUCUGAUUAGGCAGUUGGCGGGGUAACGGCCCACCAAACCGACGAUCAGUAGCCGGCCUGAGAGGGCGACCGGCCACAUUGGGACUGAGACACGGCCCAAACUCCUACGGGAGGCAGCAGUGGGGAAUAUUGCACAAUGGGGGAAACCCUGAUGCAGCGACGCCGCGUGAGCGAAGAAGUAUUUCGGUAUGUAAAGCUCUAUCAGCAGGGAAGAUAAUGACGGUACCUGACUAAGAAGCCCCGGCUAACUACGUGCCAGCAGCCGCGGUAAUACGUAGGGGGCAAGCGUUAUCCGGAUUUACUGGGUGUAAAGGGAGCGUAGACGGCAAGGCAAGUCUGAUGUGAAAACCCAGGGCUUAACCCUGGGACUGCAUUGGAAACUGUCUGGCUUGAGUGCCGGAGAGGUAAGCGGAAUUCCUAGUGUAGCGGUGAAAUGCGUAGAUAUUAGGAAGAACACCAGUGGCGAAGGCGGCUUACUGGACG